rnacentral:rRNA from 1 species
GACGAACGCUGGCGGCGUGCUUAACACAUGCAAGUCGAACGGAAAGUCCCUGCUUUUGUGGGGUGCUCUAGUUGCGAACGGGUGAGUAACACGUGAGUAACCUGCCCUUGACUUUGGGAUAACUUCAGGAAACUGGGUCUAAUACCGGAUAAGAGCUCCUGCUGCAUGGUGGGGGUGGGAAAGUUUAGGCGGUUGGGGAUGGACUCGCGGCUUAUCAGCUUGUUGGUGGGGUAGUGGCUUACCAAGGCUUUGACGGGUAGCCGGCCUGAGAGGGUGACAGGCCAAAUUGGGACUGAGAUAAGGCACAGACUCCUACGGGAGGCAGGAGUGGAGAAGAUAGCACAAUGGGAGGAAGCAUGAUGCAGUCACGCCGCGUGCGGGAUGACGGCAUGCGGGUUGUAAACCGCUUUCGCCUGUGCCGAAGCGUGAGUGACGGUAAUGGGUAAAGAAGCACCGGCUAACUACGUG